rnacentral:lncRNA from 1 species
GACAGCAGCGGGCCAGGCAAGAGCACAACAUGGCGGCGGGCAGGACGGACCGAGCUACAGCAGCGGCCGCGCGAGGAAGUGAGGUCUCUGGCGAAGGCGGGAAGCGCUGCCCCUCCCCCCGCCGCCGCUUCCCUAUCACCCUCGCACAGAAACUCCCGCACACUCACACACCUCUGCUCAGGAGUCCAGGAAGAGCAGGAGCCGCCCCCGCGCUCCUACGGAGUCGGGCAAUGCAGAGGCCCAGGCGCGGCGGAGGGGAGGGGGAAGUGUGCGUCACGGAGAACGGAGCGCGCGCGAAGCGGGGGCACAAGCAAGAUGGCGGCCACGCCGUUUGCACCGUUUCCCCUUUUCCCUUCCCCCUCCCUUGGCGCCUGGACUCCCAGUAUCGUGCGGUGCGCAGAAGCUGUGCUCCUUGAGGUCUCGCGAGAAUUGGGAAGGGGCGACGACAGAGGGAGGCGGAAUGAGAUCUGAGAGUUUUAACCCCGCCCCCUUUCGGGAGCUCGAGAUCUGAGUUUUGACCCCGCCCCCUUUCGGGGGAUCCGGAGGCGCUGCCCAGUGACCUCCACCACCCUGCCUAUCCUUGUGGAUCUCCUUGGUGCGAGCUUGAAUUUUAGGAAAUAAGUAGGUGUGUGCGCGUGCCCUUGAGUUUUAGGAACUAAGUAGGGGCGUGUGUGUGUAUUUGUGUUUUUAAUUUGGGGAGAAAGAACUGGGGGAUGAAGGUCGACAUGGCGUUCCAGAUUAAGCAUGCCGUUCAAGUAGACAGCUACUGGCACCUUAAAUUCAUAAAAGAGCAUUUAGCACCAAACUGUAAAGUGAUGUCCUCUAGAAUAAAGAACAGUACUUACCAAGA